AAAAAAAAUAAUUCACGGAAUGGCCACACGAUGGCAGCAUUGGAUAAGAAAUGAAAGCUAAAGCCUGUUCUGUCUCGAUGGAGUUCACUACCUGCACUACCCAUUGUAAACAGCAGAGGGCACCGCAACAGCUUGCCAGAGCCGCACUGAAGAAGGAAGCCAAGCGAGGAGGCUUUUGCUAUUGUUUUGCCAAGAUUACGAUGGACAGAGCUCGUUAAACCAGGUUGCUGUUCAUUCCAGAGGCAAUGCAACGCUCCCUGUGCAAUCCCUAGUGAAGACCGGUGACUUUGCACAGCCAGGAUGUGAACCUGCACCCUGAUUCCCGUACUACUCCCCUGGUGCUCCCUGCUUAAGAGAUUUAAAAGAAAAAAAGAAAGAAAUUGAUAACUGCAGAGUUGUGUGAUGAAAAUAUUAUCCAGUCUCAAUCUACUCCUAUACAUUGUACAAAUAAUUAAUUCAAGUACUAGUUAGCAUUUUACAAGGGUGCAAGUUCUUUUCUGGUUGGCUUAGUUGGUAGAGCAUUGGACUCUGAUUCAUAGGGUGUUGGUUCAAGUCCCAGAUGAGGCACAAGUGUUAAUCCCUCGUUUUCAAAAAUAUUGUUUAAUUUAUCUUAAAUAA